UACGGAGGGUGCGAGCGUUAAUCGGAAUUACCGGGCGUAAAGCGCGCGUAGGCGGUUUGUUAAGUCAGCUGUGAAAGCCCCGGGCUCAACCUGGGAACUGCAGUUGAUACUGACCGACUAGAGUACGAGAGAGGGAGGUAGAAUUCCAUGUGUAGCGGUGAAAUGCGUAGAUAUAUGGAGGAAUACCAGUGGCGAAGGCGGCCUCCUGGCUCGAUACUGACGCUGAGGUGCGAAAGCGUGGGGAUCAAACAGG
rnacentral:rRNA from 1 species